UACGUAGGGGGCAAGCGUUUGUCCGGAAUCAUUGGGCGUAAAGAGCUCGUAGGCGGUCUGUUACGUCUGCUGUGAAAACCCUGGGCUUAACCCUGGGCUUGCAGUGGAUACGGGCAGACUAGAGGCAGGUAGGGGAGAAUGGAAUUCCCGGUGUAGCGGUGAAAUGCGCAGAUAUCGGGAGGAACACCGGUGGCGAAGGCGGUUCUCUGGGCCUGACCUGACGCUGAGGAGCGAAAGCGUGGGGAGCGAACAGG
rnacentral:rRNA from 1 species